rnacentral:rRNA from 1 species
GACAGAGGUGCCGAGCGUUAUCCGGAAUCACUGGGCGUAAAGCGUGCGUAGGUGGCGUGUUAAGUGUGAUGUUAAAUCGCGGGGCUCAACCCUGUCGAUGUGUCGCAUACUGGCAUGCUAGAGGGAAGCAGAGGCAAGUGGAAUUUGUAGUGUAGCAGUGAAAUGCGUAGAUAUUACAAGGAACACCAAUGGCGAAGGCAGCUUGCUGGGCUUCUUCUGACACUGAGGUACGAAAGCGUGGGGAGCGAACAGG